UCAAACUUGGUCAUUUAGAGGAAGUAAAAGUCGUAACAAGGUCUCCGUAGGUGAACCUGCGGAGGGAUCAUUAUCGAGAUGUGUGGUCUCUCGCUAUCGUUUGCUCUGUAACCAGCGGCCCGGCUCCGAGCCUAUUCAUGCCCUGUCAGAUCAAAUGGCUGGGCUAUGACAAGGACGGGGCCGGGUCGCUACAUAAUGUUUCAAGCGACGUUGCGUGGGAAGCCCCCUCCAACCCUUUGUGGACCAAAACCUUUUUGCCUCGGGGGCAGAGCGUCCCUCGACAGCCGCCCCCGGAGGACCACCAAACGCUGCCUCUGUACGUCGGAGUUUUGAUUGAAAUCAAACAAAAAACUUUCAACAACGGAUCUCUUGGUUCUGGCAUCGAUGAAGAACGCAGC
rnacentral:misc_RNA from 1 species